rnacentral:tRNA from 1 species
GCACCCGUAGCUCAAUUGGAUAGAGCACCAGACUACGGAUCUGGGGGUUAGGGGUUCGAAUCCUCUCGGGUGCGCCA